rnacentral:rRNA from 1 species
GACGAACGCUGGCGGCGUGCUUAACACAUGCAAGUCGAACGGAAAGGCACUGCUUGUGUGGGGUGCUCGAGUGGCGAACGGGUGAGUAACACGUGAGUAACGUGCCCUUGACUUUGGGAUAACUUCAGGAAACUGGGGCUAAUACCGGAUAGGAGCUCCUGCUGCAUGGAGGGGGUUGGAAAGUUUCGGCUGGCGGGGAUGGACUGGCGGCUUAUCAGCUUGUUGGUCGGGUAGUGGCUUACCAAGUCUUUGGCGGGUAGCCGGCCCGAGAGGGUGACCGGCGUCCUGGCGCCUGCGGUACGGCGCAGACUCGUACGUGAGGCAGUGGUGGGGAAUAUUGCACAGUGGUCGCACGCCUGAGGCAGCAACGUCGCGUUCGUGAUGACGGCCUUCGGGUUGUAAACCGCUUCCGCCUGUGACGAAGCGUGAGUGACGGUAAUGGGUAAAGAAGCACCGGCUAACUACGUG